GACAGAGGAUGCAAGCGUUAUCCGGAAUGAUUGGGCGUAAAGCGUCUGUAGGUGGCUUUUUAAGUCCGCCGUCAAAUCCCAGGGCUCAACUCUGGACAGGCGGUGGAAACUACCAAGCUGGAGUACGGUAGGGGCAGAGGGAAUUUCCGGUGGAGCGGUGAAAUGCGUAGAGAUCGGAAAGAACACCAACGGCGAAGGCGGCAUCCUGGACUGGUCCUGACACUCAGGAGCGAAAGCGUGGGGAGCGAUCCGG
rnacentral:rRNA from 1 species